GGGUUGUGAGGUUAAGCGACUAAGCGUACACGGUGGAUGCCCUGGCAGUCAGAGGCGAUGAAGGACGUGCUAAUCUGCGAUAAGCGUCGGUAAGGUGAUAUGAACCGUUAUAACCGGCGAUUUCCGAAUGGGGAAACCCAGUGUGUUUCGACACACUAUCAUUAACUGAAUCCAUAGGUUAAUGAGGCGAACCGGGGGAACUGAAACAUCUAAGUACCCCGAGGAAAAGAAAUCAACCGAGAUUCCCCCAGUAGCGGCGAGCGAACGGGGAGGAGCCCAGAGCCUGAAUCAGUGUGUGUGUUAGUGGAAGCGUCUGGAAAGGCGCGCGAUACAGGGUGACAGCCCCGUACACAAAAAUGCACAUGCUGUGAGCUCGAUGAGUAGGGCGGGACACGUGGUAUCCUGUCUGAAUAUGGGGGGACCAUCCUCCAAGGCUAAAUACUCCUGACUGACCGAUAGUGAACCAGUACCGUGAGGGAAAGGCGAAAAGAACCCCGGCGAGGGGAGUGAAAAAGAACCUGAAACCGUGUACGUACAAGCAGUGGGAGCACGCUUAGGCGUGUGACUGCGUACCUUUUGUAUAAUGGGUCAGCGACUUAUAUUCUGUAGCAAGGUUAACCGAAUAGGGGAGCCGAAGGGAAACCGAGUCUUAACUGGGCGUUAAGUUGCAGGGUAUAGACCCGAAACCCGGUGAUCUAGCCAUGGGCAGGUUGAAGGUUGGGUAACACUAACUGGAGGACCGAACCGACUAAUGUUGAAAAAUUAGCGGAUGACUUGUGGCUGGGGGUGAAAGGCCAAUCAAACCGGGAGAUAGCUGGUUCUCCCCGAAAGCUAUUUAGGUAGCGCCUCGUGAAUUCAUCUCCGGGGGUAGAGCACUGUUUCGGCAAGGGGGUCAUCCCGACUUACCAACCCGAUGCAAACUGCGAAUACCGGAGAAUGUUAUCACGGGAGACACACGGCGGGUGCUAACGUCCGUCGUGAAGAGGGAAACAACCCAGACCGCCAGCUAAGGUCCCAAAGUCAUGGUUAAGUGGGAAACGAUGUGGGAAGGCCCAGACAGCCAGGAUGUUGGCUUAGAAGCAGCCAUCAUUUAAAGAAAGCGUAAUAGCUCACUGGUCGAGUCGGCCUGCGCGGAAGAUGUAACGGGGCUAAACCAUGCACCGAAGCUGCGGCAGCGACGCUUAUGCGUUGUUGGGUAGGGGAGCGUUCUGUAAGCCUGUGAAGGUGUGCUGUGAGGCAUGCUGGAGGUAUCAGAAGUGCGAAUGCUGACAUAAGUAACGAUAAAGCGGGUGAAAAGCCCGCUCGCCGGAAGACCAAGGGUUCCUGUCCAACGUUAAUCGGGGCAGGGUGAGUCGACCCCUAAGGCGAGGCCGAAAGGCGUAGUCGAUGGGAAACAGGUUAAUAUUCCUGUACUUGGUGUUACUGCGAAGGGGGGACGGAGAAGGCUAUGUUGGCCGGGCGACGGUUGUCCCGGUUUAAGCGUGUAGGCUGGUUUUCCAGGCAAAUCCGGAAAAUCAAGGCUGAGGCGUGAUGACGAGGCACUACGGUGCUGAAGCAACAAAUGCCCUGCUUCCAGGAAAAGCCUCUAAGCAUCAGGUAACAUCAAAUCGUACCCCAAACCGACACAGGUGGUCAGGUAGAGAAUACCAAGGCGCUUGAGAGAACUCGGGUGAAGGAACUAGGCAAAAUGGUGCCGUAACUUCGGGAGAAGGCACGCUGAUAUGUAGGUGAAGUCCCUUGCGGAUGGAGCUGAAAUCAGUCGAAGAUACCAGCUGGCUGCAACUGUUUAUUAAAAACACAGCACUGUGCAAACACGAAAGUGGACGUAUACGGUGUGACGCCUGCCCGGUGCCGGAAGGUUAAUUGAUGGGGUCAGCGCAAGCGAAGCUCUUGAUCGAAGCCCCGGUAAACGGCGGCCGUAACUAUAACGGUCCUAAGGUAGCGAAAUUCCUUGUCGGGUAAGUUCCGACCUGCACGAAUGGCGUAAUGAUGGCCAGGCUGUCUCCACCCGAGACUCAGUGAAAUUGAACUCGCUGUGAAGAUGCAGUGUACCCGCGGCAAGACGGAAAGACCCCGUGAACCUUUACUAUAGCUUGACACUGAACAUUGAGCCUUGAUGUGUAGGAUAGGUGGGAGGCUUUGAAGUGUGGACGCCAGUCUGCAUGGAGCCGACCUUGAAAUACCACCCUUUAAUGUUUGAUGUUCUAACGUUGACCCGUAAUCCGGGUUGCGGACAGUGUCUGGUGGGUAGUUUGACUGGGGCGGUCUCCUCCUAAAGAGUAACGGAGGAGCACGAAGGUUGGCUAAUCCUGGUCGGACAUCAGGAGGUUAGUGCAAUGGCAUAAGCCAGCUUGACUGCGAGCGUGACGGCGCGAGCAGGUGCGAAAGCAGGUCAUAGUGAUCCGGUGGUUCUGAAUGGAAGGGCCAUCGCUCAACGGAUAAAAGGUACUCCGGGGAUAACAGGCUGAUACCGCCCAAGAGUUCAUAUCGACGGCGGUGUUUGGCACCUCGAUGUCGGCUCAUCACAUCCUGGGGCUGAAGUAGGUCCCAAGGGUAUGGCUGUUCGCCAUUUAAAGUGGUACGCGAGCUGGGUUUAGAACGUCGUGAGACAGUUCGGUCCCUAUCUGCCGUGGGCGCUGGAGAACUGAGGGGGGCUGCUCCUAGUACGAGAGGACCGGAGUGGACGCAUCACUGGUGUUCGGGUUGUCAUGCCAAUGGCACUGCCCGGUAGCUAAAUGCGGAAGAGAUAAGUGCUGAAAGCAUCUAAGCACGAAACUUGCCCCGAGAUGAGUUCUCCCUGACCCUUUAAGGGUCCUGAAGGAACGUUGAAGACGACGACGUUGAUAGGCCGGGUGUGUAAGCGCAGCGAUGCGUUGAGCUAACCGGUACUAAUGAACCGUGAGGCUUAACCUUACAACGCCGAAGGUGUUU
rnacentral:rRNA from 1 species